rnacentral:rRNA from 1 species
UACGUAGGGUGCAAGCGUUAUCCAGAUUUACUGGGCGUAAAGCGUGCGCAGGCGGUUUCUGAAGUCCGUUGUGAAAGCCCCGGGCUUAACCUGGGGAUGGCAGUGGAAACUAGGAGACUUGAAUCUGGCAGAGGGGGGUGGAAUGCCACGUGUAGCAGUGAAAUGCGUAGAGAUGUGGCGGAACACCGAUGGCGAAGGCAGCCCCCUGGGUCAAGAUUGACGCUCAGGCACGAAAGCGUGGGGAGCAAACAGG